UUUAAAUUGUAAAGACAGGUGCAUUUAAUUAGUAAGGUUGAAAGUUAUUUAAUGUUCCUACAUGUGAAUAAGGGUUGAGAGCUUUCUCCAUUGAAGAGGACUUGUGCUUGAUGUGUUAAGUGAAAGCAUUCUUGUGGUAGGCAUGGUGACUUCCCAUUUCCUCCUUCUUGACACAAACUACUGCUGUGAAAGAUUUGUGGCAAAACUGAAAAAGAAAGGCUGUAACUGGUGCAUCUUCAUGGAUUUAAUAGAAUGUAGGACUUGGAUCUGAACAUUUCAGGUUCCUAUUCUCUCUCAGUCUUAUUUAGCCUUGGGACACAACAUUUUAUCUGGGGGAUUCAUGUUGUUUGCAGAGCAUGUGUUUAAGAUCCUUCCCUCCCACACACACAACAAAAGACUGUACUAGUUCUGAUUCCUGCCCAAACCACCACAAUGCCUAUGUUUAUUUUUAAGCAAAAGUAUACCAAUAAAAGUGAAUUCUUCAUGUUUA